GUCAACUGUAAAGUCCUACAUUCACCAAGGCCUGCUAUAGGUCAGGACCCUGUGGACACAGAGAUGUCAACACACCCCACGCAAACCCCUCCCCUCAGGAGAUCAAGUUCUGGAGGAGGGGUCUUGGUCAGAGUUGAGAGGUGACCUCAGGGCCCAGGCCUGUGACCCAGGCAAAACAAUAUGCAUCAGAAUAAUGAAAUGGGGUAAGCCAGCGGUGAGAUCCAGAGCCUGCCCUUGGUCACCUGAGAGGCACGGGCAGCCCAGAAGAGGCCUGGGGUGUGGGGUUGUUUUCCACUGGGGCUAUUUCAAGGCAGGGUGAGGCAAGGCAGUGACAGGAAGGCUCCUGGCCAGCACAAGAUGACGGUGCAGUUUCCUGAUGCAGACUGAGUCAAGGUGUCUCCGGGGCUCAGCAGGAAAGGGUGAGGGGCUCUGGCACCAUGAGGAGCCCAAGGUGACCCAGAAGGCCACAGCUCCCAAACUGGAUCCUUGGAGGAUGGGGGCUGAAGUUCUGGCACAUUCUCAAGUGGCAGCAGCAACACUGUCAUGGUCCUGCCCUUGGAGUAAAUCGGAAGCACCAUCCUUUCUGAACCCUCUUGUCUUUUCCAGGGGUUCUUGUGGAAAAUACCAGGGUCUCUCCCUGGGCUGGUGUGGAUAUGUUCAGAAACAAGAGCUGAGCUGUCUUCAGAACAAGAGUGGUAGGUUGUCACGAGGGAAGCCUCCGAUCUUUAUCCUCUGAGGCCAAGGUCUUGGAGAGGGGACCCUGACCCUGGAAUGUGGAUGUUGCCCAAGUCCCCCACCCCUAUCCUUUCGCCUCCAACCCAGAGCCCCUAAACCAGCUGCCUGGGUGGAUAAACUGUGGCCACCCCUCCAGGCAGGGCGGGCCCUCACCACUCAGCCCCACCCAGGGGCCCCUAGGUUCUGUUUAUGGCAGUUUUCUGAAACAGCUUGUUUUGAUCUACAGAGAUCUGCUGACGCACUGGCUACCCCUUCUCCCUCCUGCAUCAGGGUGGAGUUAUUUUUAGCUUCAUCGGUAGAGGAAUAAAGAAGAACACAGGCCCACCAUACUGUGGGCACAGCCCUGUGACCCCAAGGCAGGACAGGGCACCUCUGUGUGGUUUUGAAGCUUCCACUCACCUCUCCUCAGACACAUGCCUUUUCUGAGGAAAAUGAGCUGCGUAGAACUAGGAGGCCUGGACAGUUUCCAAACACCAACUCUGAAACUGUGUUACUUUGUCCUUGGAAGAGGGUGGCUAGGGCAGCUCCAGAGGAGAGGGCACAAAGGAGCCUGAUACUGCAUGGAGGGGCCUGGGCUUUAUAGAACCCUGUGCAUUGAGCAUUGCCAGUUACCCCUCCUCCUACUCUUUGGAAAAGUCUAAGAAAGCUUGUGUCUGGGAUUUGGGAACAAUGUGUGUGAACGAGGGCGAGUUUUGAGAAGAGAAAUAGAGAAAAACAAGACAUCAACUUGGGCCCUGGAAGCAGCCAACAGUAGUGACUAUGCAUCUCUCGGAUGCUAGCAGGCCAAGUCACCCACCCCUGGAAAGGAUGCCAGGCAAGAUUGAUGGGCAUAACCUGGAGAAGGGCAAGCAGAGCCUGGGGACUCUCCAUGGAUAAGCCACCAGCCAACAAGCCCGGGCUUGCCACAUACUCAGCCUUCUGUGUUGACAAUCACAUGAGAAUGAGUCACCAGUUUUCCCAGAAGCAGGAGAGGGGUGCGGCGGAGCCCCGCCCUGCCUGCAAAUGCCAUCUUGCAGAGGCAGGGGAAAAUUUCUAUCUGGAUUCCUCCCUUGUCGUCAAGGGAGCCUGUUGUCACAGGGUGGUUUGUUUGGGGUGUGGGCGGUUGGCCUGGGAGGAGACUUCUUUCUACCACCUACCCCAGGGGCGGGCCUUGAACCAAUAGGUGCCCCAUGGGGGUCUUCUCGGCCUCCUCCUCACCCUGGCCCCAUAUGGUAAUGGAAGGCCGAUUAUUCUUUUCAAAACCCUCACAAAAUCCUUAGCCCUGCCAGCCUUUUGACCGGGUUGCUUUUGGCAGGCUGGCAUCCAUGCCUUGUAGGCAGCCAGCCCGAUACCUCCAGAAGCCACUAGACCCACUCCUUGGGGCCCAUCACAAGUCACAAGCUGUCCCGGACCAGUGCUGAGGUUUUUGGUUUGUUUGUUUGAAUCACUUUUCUCCCCCCACUCCUCACUCCAAAAGCAAAGUGAGUUUUAAACCUACACCCAUCUGGUCUGGGCCCUACAAUUGCCCGUAUUGUUUUCCGCAUAAACUUUCGCCAUUAAUACGUCACUCACUUAUCUCGCUAAAUAUUCUAUCCAGCGGCCUAAUUAACUGCUGUUAGGGAAUGUUUCAACUCCCCGGGUCCCUGCUGACCCGCAGGGACAGGACCAGGGACACGGCUGCACCCACCCGCCCCCUGCCAUUUAAGCAACAAAGCAGGGCGUCUCGGCCACGCGCGCUGUGGGUACAGUCUGCUGUGCAGGUCACCGCGUUUCCCUCGAGAGGGUCGCGUCCUCCGGGGCGUCCCCGCCCCCACCGCGAGCGCCGGGGCGCUGACGUCACCGGCCGAGCACGCGGCGGCGCCACCCGGGAGUCACGCGCUGCCGCCCAGAUAGUGCUGCGCCGCCGCAGAGAUCCCUCCGCCGCCCCUGGAAUUUUCCAGACGCUCUGCCGGCCCUUCUUUCGGGCCUCUGCUGGGCGGGGUGACCCGAGGCGACCCCAACUCCCUCGGUCGGCUCCGAAGCGCUGCCCCUGCACGCCCCCCCCGCCCCCGCCCCACCUGAGGAAGGGACUUCUCCCCGCGGCCACUGCCUCCCAAAUGUGACGUUGGGAUCUGUCCCCAGGAAGGCCUGUUACUAGAGAAGGAGGGAUAAUUAGGGAGUGGCCACCAAAGGGAGACCGUGAACCGCCCCUGGUUGGCUUCUUGGGCGGGGUGGGGAGGGACUUUUUUUCCGGUGUCAGUGGAGGAAUCGUCCCGUUGAGUAGUGUCUUGUGACGCGACCCGGGACUAUAAAAGCAAAAGUUGUGGCCCAUCCAGCAGGAGUUAGCGACAGGCAGGGCUGGCGCCUGGGUGUAGUGGUGGGGCGGAAGUGACCAGUUCAGGGUCUCAGGGGACACAGGCAGGAGAUGGCAGAGCUAGAGGGGGUGGGGGUGCGUGGGGAAGGAAGGGCUGAAAAGGAGCUUAGAUGUGGGGGGCUCUGCAGCGCGAAGGCCCACAGCACCCCGCGAGGCCGCAGCAGCUCUCGGGCCUCGCUGUCCCUUCUGCUACUGCUGCUGGAGCGGGGAUUUGACUUCCAGGAGGCCGAGGUCCUUCCAUGGGCCUAGCUGGCCCUGGUGGCCUGGUUAACGUGGAGGAGGAAGGCAGGCUGAGGCGGGAAGAGGUGGAGACUGGCCUAGGCAGUGGUCGUUGGCAGGCAGGGUCGCAGGCCCGCAGCUGGGCGGGGAGGGCCGACUUGAAACUUGUCAAUACCAGCAGCCCCCUUUUUUUCCAGACAAAGGGUUGUGAACCUGCCUGGGGAUGAAGCCUGGUCUUAAGGAAACUGGACUUGGCUUCGCGGGCCGGGCCUGACAGCUCUGGCCCAGGGUGGUAUGUAAACAGGGCUCACCCCGGAGCCCAGGAGGUGAAGGGUGGCCUGAGGAGUGAUCACGAUCCAGUGUGCCAUUGCCACCUGUUAACUGGGGGCUGCUGAGGCAGGCUGCUUGUGUCUGGGGAAAAUAUUGACCAACCCUUUAUUUUCCAGGUGGCAGUACCCUCCCCUCUGGACUUCCCUAGGUUCGAUGCUAAACUCUUCUGUGAGCUCACUCUACCCCUCCUCCUCCCUCUAACUCUCUUGAGGUUAUCCCUUCACUUAAAACCUUGCCUCUGGUCAUCUGGUAAGCCUGGUGAAGUCGCAGGAGUGUUCUUGGACUCGGUAUUGUUGGUAAUGGUGCAGAAGGAAAGGCCUUCCCGGUGGAGCCUCUGGGGGGUGGGUUGGUGUUGCUUUUGGAGAGGGUGGGGAUUGAAUGUGCUCCCCUGGGUGGGGCUGCAGCAGUGGUUCCAGCAGAAGUCACCCGAUGCCUCAUGGACCUGGUUUGUUACUGUAGUGUUCAUCAUGGCGAGCAGAUGGCACCAGGACAAAUGGAGCCCCAGCCAGUGUGAGUCGUAGCAGUGCAGGAGGGGAGACCCUGAAGGAGACAGCCCGCUUAAGUUGAUGCCUGCAGAUUGAAUUCCAGAGGCUUAGGAGGAGGAGCAAUUCUCCAGUGUCUUGUGUCCAGGCCUUGCUCAGGAUCCCUGUAUUCAGGAGGCCAACCGUUAAGGUUUUCAGAUGAGCUUGUGGGGGGCAGUUCACAAGUCCAAAGCAGAUGCAUCGGCUUGAGGGGCCAUCACCUUUGAAUGUUUCAGCAGCACCAUCCUCCAGGCACAGGAAUGCCAGCAGGCACCCCUCUUGUCCUGGGGGUGGUUUUCAGAUGCUGCAUCUUCUAAAUUGAGCCUCUGGUCCUUCUAGUUCUGUGCUGUGAACUUUGCUUCCAGAAGAUUCUUAAGUUAUAGAACAUUUUAAAGUUGAUCCAACAACCAGCCUGAUGCCUUUUAGAUGGCACUUGGAGAUGGAGCCCAGGGACCUCUCACCUACCCACCUGCUUACCUGCCUUCCUGUCUGCACAUUGGCCGGAGGAAUUCUUAGUGUGAUGAUAAAGCUUUUGAUUGUUGGGGGGCGGGGCAGGGAGCUGUUCAAUUUUAAAUGCUUUAGGCAGAGGGAAUUUGUUAGCUAGGUAGAUUGUCAAUCUGUGGGGGCUCAUGUGUUGAGCUAAAGUGGGAGGGGACAAGCCGGUCAUGCCCAGGAGCUGUGUGUUGGUAGGGGGUCUUGUCUGGGCAUUCUAAUGGCAUAGGACCUUACAAGAAGGGAAUGGUGGGCCCACCAGUAGUGGGUGGGUCAUGGGUGUUUUGUUUUCUGGUGCUGCAGAUUGAACAGGGCCUUGGGCAUUUUAGGCAAAUGCUCAGCCAUUGAGCUACAACCCCAGCCCAGUUAUUUGCCAGUUAUUUGAUUCUCCCCCACACUUUUUUUUAUACAUCUCAGAGUAUUCUUGUCAUUCCCUCUGGGGGAGGGACAGGGGGGCAAGGGCUGGUGGGGAUGCAGUGCUGGGAGCAUGAGGGUGUGGGAUGUGGGUUGAGAGAAAGUAUGGGCAGAGAUCUGAGGAAUUUCAUAGAAUUUGUGAGUGAAGAAAACACUAGUUAAUGGUAAAUUAUUGGUUAAAUGGUUGCAUAUAAGCAGUGAAAAUUGCUUGGAAAUUUUUAUAAAAGUGCUUAGAACUUCAAGGAAAGUUCAAGAAAAAAAGCAAAAUUGUUUUGCUUUGCUCUAAAGUGGGGAAGACUGAGAAGGUAUAACUGAAAACAAGAAUAUUUAGUUACUUGAAAAAUGACAUGGAACUUGGUGUCAAAACUAUGAGUUUUAAACUCAAGUAUGCACUUACGAUGAGAUUAAUAUGGACUUUUCUGGGUUUGUAAUUCAUAUUUUGUCAUGGAGAUCUCAGUGAUUCAAAAUUCUGAACAAAAUGGAAAUGCUUUUGGAGAGGGUGGGGAUUGAAUGUGCUCCCCUGGGUGGGGCUGCAGCAGUGGUUCCAGAAGAAGUCACCCAAUGCCUCAUUGAUGUGAAUUGUUACUGUAGUGAGACAAAUGGAAAUGCUUUUGGAGAGGGUGGAGAUUAAAUGAUUUUUAAAGGAAUUUCAUAAGAAGUGCCUUAUAGAUUUUUCUGUGUUUGGUCAAAACCAUAAUAGCAAAAGUUUUGCUUACUUAACUAUAGUCUUGAAAUCAGUCAUUGUAACAAGGAAAACCUUUUGUGGUCACAGUGAAAGUACUAUAUUUGUUAGCAAUCAGAAUUAUUAAUGAAUAAUCUAUUGUAUUUUUAGUUUAAAUGAUCCAGGACUAGGGGGGGGAAUGUCAGUCAAAACCAGUUUAGGAAAUAAAAGCAAACUGGGCAGAAGGGGCCAGCUUAAGAGGCAGGCUGUAAGAGCUCCUGUGAAACUCGAUUUGCUUCUGAGCUGAUUUUGUUGAAAUGAUAGAGUAACUCCAGUGGGCUUCAUCCUGUUUUUCCUCCAAAUUUGAACACUUUAAAUACCCAAUACCUUUUAUCCUUAGGACUUUUCCUGUGUUCUGGGUUCCUUUUUUUUUAUGCUUAAAAAUACAUUGGUAUGGUACUUCAGUUCUUAGCUGGUGACUUGGGUGUGAUACAAUUACUGUCAUUGGAACUUAAAGUAUAUUAGUCAUGCUUGUGUGGGGAAAUAUUUCUGGGUAUGCUGUUGUGUAAUGAAAGCUGUAAAAACAGGUGGUUAAAGUACUUGUUUGUAAGGCACGCACUGUUCUGUUCUGUUCUGUGUGUGGUUUCUAACCAUUUUUCUUCCCCUUUACAGCACAAAUAAAGGUUUGAGUUCCAAACUC